rnacentral:tRNA from 1 species
ACCGCCUUAGCUCAGUUUGGUAGAGCGAUCGGCUCUUAACCGAUCAGUCGAGGGUUCGAUCCCCUCAGGCGGUG